GUUGAACGCUGGCGGCGUGCCUAAUACAUGCAAGUCGAGCGAACAGACGAGGAGUUUGCUCCUCUGACGUUAGCGGCGGACGGGUGAGUAACACGUGGAUAACCUACCUAUAAGACUGGGAUAACUUCGGGAAACCGGAGCUAAUACCGGACAAUAUAUUGAACCGCAUGGUUCAUCAGUGAAAGACGGUUUUGCUGUCACUUAUAGAUGGAUCCGCGCCGCAUUAGCUAGUUGGUAAGGUAACGGCUUACCAAGGCAACGAUGCGUAGCCGACCUGAGAGGGUGAUCGGCCACACUGGAACUGAGACACGGUCCAGACUCCUACGGGAGGCAGCAGUAGGGAAUCUUCCGCAAUGGGCGAAAGCCUGACGGAGCAACGCCGCGUGAGUGAUGAAGGUCUUCGGAUCGUAAAACUCUGUUAUUAGGGAAGAACAAAUGUGUAAGUAACUAUGCACGUCUUGACGGUACCUAAACAGAAAGCCACGGCUAACUACGUG
rnacentral:rRNA from 1 species